UUUAAAGCAGCUGUGCCCCUGUCCCCUCGAAGUCCAGCGGGCAGCCACCGUGUCCACGUCUGGGAGUGUGCCGGGACCUUCCUACCUCCUCUCGGUGUGAACAUUGCGGUGGACAGCACAGACGACCGGAGACAGACAGGGCUGCCAACACCAAGUCUCAACUGGAUUCAGGAGGUCAAGUCCCAGGAUGCCCGGGAGGGAAGGGAAAGGAUCUGCUCAGCCACAGGCUCUAGGUGUAGCCGACCUGUUGCCUGCGGGAAAGCGUCCCACAAGAUCUGAGAGCCAGGAGUCCGUGCUGAAGUCAGCCGCGAUCUUACGGGCGAGCAUCCCCAGAGUCCAGCGCCCACGGGAGGAAGACGU
rnacentral:lncRNA from 1 species